rnacentral:rRNA from 1 species
CCUANGGGGGGCAGCAGUUAGGAAUCUUGGGCAAUGGGCGCAAGCCUGACCCAGCCAUGCCGCGUGUGUGAAGAAGGCCUUCGGGUUGUAAAGCACUUUCAGCGGUGAAGAAAAGCUCAGGCCUAAUACGCUUGAGUCUUGACGUUAACCACAGAAGAAGCACCGGCUAACUCCGUGCCAGCAGCCGCGGUAAUACGGAGGGUGCGAACGUUAAUCGGAAUCACUGGGCGUAAAGCGCGCGUAGGCGGUUUGUUAAGUGGGAUGUGAAAUCCCCGGGCUUAACCUGGGAAUUGCAUUUCAAACUGGCCGGCUAGAGUACGAUAGAGGGAGGUAGAAUUUCCUGUGUAGCGGUGAAAUGCGUAGAUAUAGGAAGGAAUACCAGUGGCGAAGGCGGCCUCCUGGAUCGAUACUGACGCUGAGGCGCGAAAGCGUGGGGAGCAAACAGGAUUAGAUACCCGANUANUC